rnacentral:rRNA from 1 species
UUGUCUAUGCCAUUUUACCAAACACUAGUUGCAUGUUUAUAGAAUGAUUAUUUGAUUGAAUAUAUAAAUACAACUUUCAACAACGGAUCUCUUGGCUCUCGCAUCGAUGAAGAACGCAGCGAAAUGCGAUAAGUAAUGUGAAUUGCAGAAUUCAGUGAAUCAUCGAAUCUUUGAACGCACCUUGCGCUCCUUGGCAUUCCGAGGAGCAUGCCUGUUUGAGUGUCAUUAACACCUCAAGACCUGUCUGCUUUUGAUAGGUAUUGGAUUUUGGGAGUUGCAGGCUGUUUCAGAUAUAGCUUGCUCUCCUUGAAUGUAUUAGUGGAGAAAAGCUGUUGAACUCCAUUGGUGUGAUAAAAUCUAUCAAUGCCAGGAGCAACAUCAAGUGGUCUCUGCUGUCUAACCCUAACUGUCUGACUCACUUGACCUCAAAUCAGGUAGGACUACCCGCUGAACUUAAGCAUAUCAAUAAGCGGAGGAA